AAGGAGAUGGUGUAAUAGGUAAACAUGGGUAAUUUAGGAUUACCUGAUCGAAAGAUUGUACAGGUUCAAGUCCUGUUCUCCUUA
rnacentral:tRNA from 1 species